CCACAGGGCUGCCGGGGACCGGAAGGGCGGCCCGCGCCCACCGCACCCUGUUCGCGGCUGGAGCGUGGACAGGUGGGGCAGGAACGUGCCCGGGAUUGUGCGUUCUGGCGUCUGCCGUGGCCACGGCCCUCCGAUGCCCAGCGCUUGGACUGGGAAGGAGGGGAGUAGGAGGUCGGGUGCAGCGGGGCGGAGGGCUCUGCUGGGAGGAGGGGAGACAAUGAGGCAGGAUGGGUUUGAGGGGAGAAUCCCAGCUUACCGAGAUGGACUGCGCCUCUUGAGUGCAUUCGUCCAUUUAAACAUUCCAAACUUUAUGAAUAUUUGUUCGCUGAGAGGCCGUCGGUUGCAGGAAAGACUGGAAAAGUGCUUGUCCUUGAGAAACUCCCAAACCGUCCUUGGUGGAGAACUGAAUAUAAAAGAACAAGAUCUGCUCUGCGAAGGAGUGAGAAAGCUGGCUUCCAAAAUCAGCAUGUAUACCAACCACAGCAGGUGGCAAGAGAAAAAAACACCCUCGCAGAGGACCUUGCGAGGCAUUCUUGCAACAUCUCUGUCUGGGACUUGAACUUGACCAGGGUUCCAACUGAAUGUUGAAAACUUCUAUUUGUGGCCACUGGCUGAAAUCCUCAUCUAGUUACUGACGUGGGAGCACAAGCUAGCUGAACGUGGGCCGUUCCUUUCUGGCCGUGGACUUUUCUGCCUCGGGGAACAAGCUGAGAACAUGCUCACUCAAGACUCCGACACACUUGCAAAACCCUCUAUUUAGAUUACAAAAGUAGGUUGAACUAAUUUGGGGUAGAUGAAACGAACUUGCUGUCAGAUCACCAUCAUUGGACUAAUGGUUCCAAAAUCCAACUCCCUGUGAGAGCCUUCAGACGUUCGGAAAUCCGGGUCCUGCCAGAGUCUCUGGCCUCCUUUCUUGCCAUGCCCUGCUGGGCCGUUCUUGCUCCAGUGGCAGUGAAUUACUUAUAUUUUUCACCGUCAUCAUAAAGUUCUUCAGCUCUUUGCUUUUACUCCUAGGGUGCCCGCUACCUGAAAUUGCCCUCCCUGAACUAUCAGAGCAUUUGUUACAUCAUAUAAUGAUUAUGUAAUGCUUCUCACCAUCCAAUGAGACUGCCCGUAUCAUAUUAAUCUCCAAAUCUGUAGCACCUGGCAGAGGUUUUCAGUAGAUGUUUAUUCGAUGAAUCAAUGCAUCGGUGACUGAAUGUCCAGUUGGAUAAUCUGUAAGCACCUCAAAUUCAGCUUGGCCUACCCAAACUUGUAAACAGACACCCAUGUCCCCCAAACUAACCUAGGUGGUCCUCUCCCAUGCUCCCACACUGCCCUGGAGCGCCUCUCCCCUUAAACAUAUCGUCAGGUUAUAACCUGUUUUCCUGGCUACUUCUAUUAGACCAUGCCUCCUGAUGUCAGGGACCAUGUCUUUCAUCUCUUUAGUUGUUGGUUGAAUGAAUAAAGGAAGGAAAGAAAACAAAGGAGAGAGCCAGCCAGCUCUUUCUCCCGUGAGAAUUGGUCAUUGGUUUCUUCAUUUGUAAGAGAAGGAGCUGCACUGAAUGACUUUUGAUGGCCCUGUUCUGAGUGUGAUGCGAACCUACAAAUGUCUGUCAGAAAUAACUACCUCAGUAGCUACAGAAAGAGGUUAAAAAAUACCCAAUUCAUCCCCUGUGGAGCAUAGAGCCUUGUGGCAAGCAUUAGACCAGAGUUUGGGGAUUUGAAUUCUGGUUCCAGCUUCACCACUCAGCAGCUGUGUGGUCUUGGGCAACUCAGUCUCUCUGGUUCUUCAUUUCCUCUUUGGUAAAAUGAGUUUGAUUGGGUGAACCUUGAAACCUCUUUCAGGCUGAAAUUCUGUGACUCACAGAGUGACAUUUCUGGAAUUUAAAACAUCUUAAGUGGCAAGACUUAGUGGGACCUCCAAAGAAGGCUGGGUCUGGUCUCUGCUAUGACAGAAGGAGCCAGAAAGAGCAAGAUACCCCGAGUUUACAUAACACAGUUUGCUACCGAAGGCUUUUUGGAAGUGCAGACUCACUAAGGGGAGGGCCUCACAGCAGUCCUCAGAAUUAGUAGGCACAGUGCCCCAAAGUCGAGGCCAGUUUGUGGCCUCUUGAUUCUUGGUCUGGUGCAAUUUCCCCUGCCCCAUGUGGAGGGAAGUAUAUGAAAUUGGCACUCAGCGUUUAUGUUCAGAUUUCCCUGACCCUUUCUCACUACUCGCCUUCAAUUUUGCAUUACAAAAACAAUAGGUGUUUUUGCAUUCUAGGUAUAAGUUUAUAAUAGUAAGUGUACUUUUUCAGACUGUAUAGGCCACUCACAGUCCUACCCUCCUCUAGAGAUUCAUUAUGUCCCCUUGGAAGUUGAAUCUUCAGUCUAAGAUGUUGUAGGAAGGCCUGUUUGACCAGCCCAGGGCAGCCAGGUCCUCUAUCAUGUGUCUAUUUUUUACAAUCAUUAGUAAGAGAGGCACCUCCUUAAUCAAUCAAUAAAUAUCUUUUGAGCAUCUAACAUGUAAAGCUCUGGGAUAUAGUUUCUGUCCACAAAGACCUAGCAGAUUUUUCAAACUGUACUGGUGUUCCGUUACCAGAGAGUAAAAUUAAUAUAGAUCAAGGUUUUUUUUCUUUUAGUGGACUAGACUAAAAUUCACUUGAGUGGAGCAGAAUAGAAAUAAACAGGAUAGAAAGAAAAGGCAUGUUGCUAUGGAGAACAGUAUGGAGGUUCCUUUAAAAACUAAAGAUAGAGCUACUAUGUGAUCCUGAAAUCCUACUGCUGGGCAUAUAUCCAGAAAAAAACAUAAUUCGAAAAGAUACAUGCACCCCAAUGUUCACUGCAGCACUAUUUACAAUAGCCGAGACAUGGAAGCAACCUAAAUGUCCAUCGACAGCUGAAUGGAUAAAUGAGGUGUAGUGUCUAUACACAAUGGAACAUUACUCAGCCAUAAAAAAGAAUGAAACAAUGCCAUUUGCAGCAACGUGAAUGGACCUAGAGAUUAUCAUACUAAGUGAAGUAAGUCAGACAAAGAUAUACAUCAUAUGAUAUCGCUUAUAUGUGGAAUCUUUAAAAAAAUGAUACAAAUGAACUUAUAUACGAAACAGAAAUAGAUCCAUGGGCAUGGAAAACAAACUUAUGAUUACCAAAGGGUAAGGUGGGGGGAGGGAUAAAUUAGGAGUUUGGGAUUAACAUAUACACACUACUAUAUGUAUUAAAUAGAUAACCAACAAGGACCUACUAUAUAGCACAGGGAACUAUACCCAAUAUUUUGUAAUAACUUAUAAGGGAACAGAAUCUGAAAAAGAAUAUAUAUAUAUAUAUAUAUAUAUAUAUAUAUAUAUAUCUGAACCACUUUGUUGUACUAACACAACAUUGUAAAUCAACUAUACUUCAAUUUAAAAGAAAAGACAUGUAUAAUCAUGCAUCCGGUCCAUACAGGUAAAGUGUUAUUUUGUGAAACUUUGCUUCAAACGUGUAUGUUCAUGAUAGGGUGUGGUGUAAAAAUGUAUUUCUUGUUAUGGAUUGUGGUUUUUUUUUUAAAGUUUGAAAGUGCUGCCUUACAGUAUGUUCAGGAAUACAAAAUUUUUUCAUAUGAGACAUCAAAUGGUGAAGAAGAGGAAGAGGGGUGAAAGAGAGCUGUGUGGAUCUAUAGGGAAAGGGUAAUGACCUUAGGGCAGAGACUCAACACAGAGAGGGGAUCACUGCCAAGGAGGAAGGGUUUGGGGGGGAAGUGACAGUGCAGCUGGUCAUUGAGGGGCAGAUUGGGAAGAGGAAUUGCAUCUGGGAGUACAGUGUGAAAAGAACUACUCUGAUUCUUCUUGAAUUGCAGCCCUUCUACUAGAUUGAGGCUAAUCUUGGGGCCAUAGAGUUUUGUGGGAUGGUUGCUGUAUUUCUUUGUUUCCUCCUUCGCAAUUUUCUCUUCUCUUUUCCUGGGUCUCCUAUUAUUCAGAGGUUGGAUCUCUUGGCUUGAUCCUUUGAUUUUCUUUUCUAUUUUCUACUUCUUUGCCUUUUUACUUGACUUUCUAGAAUAUUUCCUUCAAUUUUCUCUUCCAGCCUUUCCACUGAAUUUUUCCUGUUAUAUUUUUAAUUUCCCAGAGCUCUUUGAUCUCAGAACAGUCUAUUUUUAUAGCAUACUGGGGAUGUUCUCGGUGGUUUGGGUUGUAAUAUCUUCUAUUAUUUCUCUGUGAAUAUUGAUUAUAUGAAGUUUUUUCUGCUGUCUCUACAUCUGUAAGAAAUCUCAGAAUCUGUUUGUCGUGGCCCUUCAUUCUCUGGCCUGUCUCUUCCCUGUCACCAUCGUUGGGCUCUUUAUGGAAGGUUCCUUAGCAGUGUGUGCCUCUGGUAACUGGACUUUCACUGUUUCUAGAGUCAUCACAGGUUGCUACUUUCUAUCUCUUAAGUGCUGCAUAUUCU